UACGUAGGGUGCAAGCGUUGUCCGGAAUUAUUGGGCGUAAAGAGCUCGUAGGCGGUCUGUUACGUCUGCUGUGAAAACCCGGGGCUUAACCCUGGGCUUGCAGUGGAUACGGGCAGACUAGAGGCAGGUAGGGGAGAAUGGAAUUCCCGGUGUAGCGGUGAAAUGCGCAGAUAUCGGGAGGAACACCGGUGGCGAAGGCGGUUCUCUGGGCCUGACCUGACGCUGAGGAGCGAAAGCGUGGGGAGCGAACAGG
rnacentral:rRNA from 1 species